rnacentral:tRNA from 1 species
GUUUAUAUAAUUUAUAUUAGAAUAUUGUGUUGAAGUUACAAAAGAGAUAUUUAUCUAUAGGCA